rnacentral:lncRNA from 1 species
UGAAGACCACCUAAAGAGUGCACAAGCCCAAGUGUGAAGGAGGCCCAAAACUGGUUUUGAAGUGUUAAGGAGGCCCACCUUUGGAGGUUUUUAAUGGAAGGGAUCUUUUGUCUUUUGUCCACUACUUGUAUUGUAAUAUAAAUAUAACAUUGUAGGAUUUUAUGUCUUUAGUUUUAUUCUUGAUAUUGUAAGAACACUCCUCUUAGAGAGAGACAGACUCCAACCGAAACCAGGGCCUAACACAAAGGUGGAAUCGUUUGUGUAUGGUGCAUUGCAUGAUACGUUGGU